GACGGAGGGUGCUAGCGCUGUUCGGAAUGACUGGGCGUAAAGGGCGCGUAGGCGGCCGCUUGCGUCGGAUGUGAAAGCCCGGGGCUCAACCCCGGAACGGCAUCCGAUACGGGGCGGCUCGAGACCGAGAGAGGUGAGUGGAAUACCCAGUGUAGAGGUGAAAUUCGUAGAUAUUGGGUGGAACACCGGUGGCGAAAGCGGCAUCCUGGACCGGCAUUGACGCUGAGGCGCGAAAGCUAGGGGAGCAAACGGG
rnacentral:rRNA from 1 species